rnacentral:rRNA from 1 species
UACAUGUGGGGCAAGCGUUGUUCGGAUUUACUGGGCGUAAAGGGCGGGUAGGCGGCCACCGCAAGUCGACUGUGAAAUCUCCAGGCUUAACCCGGAAAGGUCAGCCGAUACUGCGGGGCUAGAGUGCAGAAGGGGCAACUGGAAUUCUCGGUGUAGCGGUGAAAUGCGUAGAUAUCGAGAGGAACACCUGCGGCGAAGGCGGGUUGCUGGGCUGACACUGACGCUGAACUGCGAAAGCUAGGGGAGCGAACGGG